UGAAAAAAUCUUGGGCCACUGGAUAGAAAAUUGCUCUUAGAGCCAGAAGAAUUGAGUUCAAAUUCUGAUUCUGGUACAUAUUGGCUAUGUAACUUUAAGCAAAUCACUUAACCUCUUGGUACUCUCACAAGUUACUCUCACAGGACUAAGAAAGAUAGUGAGGGUACCAAUCUACAUUAGUAGAGAGAGUUGCCUAACCAGUGAAAUAACAGUUUCAGGUCCUAUCCAUUUUUAGGCCAAUGGAUUUAGAGAUGGAAGAAACCUUAGAGACCAUAGACAACCCCCCUCAUCCUGAUCCUUUAGUGAUGGUAGAUUGUGGAUAGUUUGUACUUGUUCUCUACAAUUUGAUGUGGCAGACUAUCCUGUGACUGUUGUUGAGAAUUGUUUAGGUUCAGUUUCCAAAUGUUAUUUCCAAAUAUUCUUACAUUCAUUGCACAAAAAUAGUAAAGAGCAUGGUCAGAUCAUAGGAAGUUCUAUAAGUGAUGCUAAAUACUUUUGCCUAUCAAGCCAGAUGUUUUUACAAAAACAUACUUUUAGAAUAAUAGAGAUUUUUUUUAAAAUCCUCAAACCCAUUCUAAAUCCUUUCCUCAAGUUGUCAGUAUCAAAGUCUGAUAAUUGCUAUUAAUCAGUGGUUAAAAAUGGCGUGAGCAUUCUCCUCACCUAGGUCUUGAGAGUCCACAAUGCCAGGGCCCCUGAGAGUCACAAAGUUACCAAAUAUCAAUGUCAGGGCUUAACUUUAAACUUUCUGACUCAAAUUUCUAAAAUUAUCUUAAACGAAAUUAACAAAUUCUUACAGCUAUUUCCACAAUCUUGGAUUCCACAUCUUAUGGCUAGAAGGCAGUAGUUGAGAAGAAGGUGAUCGUUUGGCUAGGUAAUAUUAAAAAAUAAAAAAGGCCCAAGAUUCAGAUCUUGUCUUUUCUUUUCACAGUCAACCUUUUGGUUGAAGCCCUUAUCAUAUUUUAACUGAAUUAUUACAAUAGCUUCUUAAUUACUUUCCCUGACUCCAUUCUCUACACUCUUCAACCUUUUGUUCAGAAGACAGGCGUCAAAACCCUUCAGUGACUCUAUAUUGCUUUUAGUAUAAAAUACAAAUACCUUAGCUGGACAUCCAAAGCUUCCCCCUAGCUAUCUGCUAUCUACUGUUCAGUUUUAUUCUACUCUUCUUCACAUACUCGGUGCUCUAGUCAAAUUAUACUACUACAUUUUUUUUUCAUGAUUUUUCUCUUUCCCUUAAACCAGACUAUAUUCUUCUUCAUUUCUGUCCACUGAUAAUCUUUCCUUCAUUCUAAACCCAGCUCAGGUAUAACUUCCUCCAAAAGGCAAAAAGAGAUAAUGGUCAUAACUCUUUAUUUUGCUUCUACCUUCUUUACCAAAGAGAAAAAUUUUGGGACUACAAGAGACAGAACAAAAAAGAUAAAUAGGGAAAUAUUGAGAUAGCCUCUAACUAAUUAAUCAGUAGACCUAGAUGAACACUAUCCCAGGAUAUUGAAAGAAUUGGCAAAUAUGAUUGUUGACCUUGUCACUGAACUGUGAAAAAGUAGACCAGGUGGGAGAUUAGAUUAUUAGAUUAGAGAAUGGCAAAAGCUUUUCUAUUAUUAAAGAAAAAAAGAGAAUGGAGUCUAAAAAUUAUAGGAUGGUGAGUUAGCUUUGAUUCUUUGGAAAAAAUAAUUCUGGAGUUAUUUUGAAGGUAUACUUAGCAAAUAUCUAGAAAAUGAAAUAGCUAAUGCAAAAAAUCUACUGACUUCAUUAGGAAGAUUUGAGGAAUGUACAGAUAUAAUUCACUUAGAUUGUUAGACAACAUUUGGCAAAGUAACAUGUUAUUCUUAUGGAAAAAAUGAAGAGAUGUGAGUUUCAAUACUAGUAAUGUUUUGUGACACUUAAACAUGUUGAAUUGCAAUAUAUACAUUAAGUGCAGCAAGGUGAAUAGAACAAUAAGGUAAUGGAAACUGAAUGCUAUGAAACUAGAAAGAUCAAGCCUAACACCAAAGAUAUGAAAAACCUUUCUCACGUCUUUGCAAAGAUUGUAAAUAAUGGGAUUACAUGUAAAGUCAGAAUUUUUUGAUAUGUUGGUUAGUUUUGCUGAAUUUCCUCCUCUUUUUCAUUCUUUGUUAUAAGAGAUUAUUUAAUAGAACAAGAGACAUAGUGACCAAGACUUGAGAAGUUGUGUUAGAAAUUCUCAGUAUUCUGUACCCUGAUCAGAUCAUAUACCAAGCUUGGUGUUCAUUUCUUUGGGCUGCAUUCUAGCAAGGAUGAUAAUAAGUUAAAGAGCAUUCAGUGGAGAGUGACCAAGAUGGUCAAGAUCCUCUAUUUGUGAAUUAAAGCAAUAGGAUUUUUAGCUUGAAGAAGAGGAGAUAGGAGAGGAUAUAUUAACAAUCUUCAUGAACUUAAAAUUCUUUUGUUUAAAAGAUGUAAUAGAUAUGCUUUGUUUGACUUCCAAGGACAGUAUCAUGUACAGUGGGCAGGUUUACAAAGCUAAUUUUAAAAAAGUUGAUGGAGGGCAACAGAAAACUUCUUAACAAUUAGAGAUAUCCAAAAGAGGAUAAUCCUUCCCCCACCUUGCCAUCUUUCUACUCUCUCUGUGAAUAUGUAUAAAAUGGACUCCAUUGGUAGUCUGGUGAAGCCUUUAAGUUUCUUCUCAGAAUAAUUGGAGGAAAUUCUAAAUUUCAGUUAGAGGUUAGUGAAAAUAAAGAUGUAAUUCUCUUCAUAUCCAAAUUCAUAGACCUUCUAUUCCUGAACCCAGGUUAAGAAUCCCUAUUCUAGGACAUUAUAUCUUGUGUUAUACUUAUUUUAUUUUAUUUUAUUUUAUUUAUUUUCCUAUUAGAUGAUAAGUUCUUUUAGGGCAGGAAUAGUGAUAUUUGUUGUCUUUUCAUUUUUACCAUCAUCUUCAUUUCCUAUAGUAAGUGCUUAAUGUUUACUGAAUUUAAUUAGUGUUUGCUGAACUUAACUAGUCCAAAACACCUCUAUCAUCAUCAUUAUCAUAAUCACUAACAUUUCUAUACCAUUGUUCAAUUUACAAAACUUUCCCCCACAAUAGCCUCAUGAGAUUGGAAGUACAAGCAAUAUUAUCUCCAUUUUAUAGAUAAGUAAACUGUGCCAUUAGGAGUUGAAAUGGCCUGACCAGAGUCAUACAGCAAGCUGAGAUUCAAUCAAAUAAAAUCUCAUCGUAUUUAUUAAACAGCUAUGUUGAUUUCUGGCCAAGAUGUGUGCACAAUUGAAAGCAGACACCUCCACUCCUACUUUAAUAAAAAACUUAACAUCAGACUGACUGAUGAACAAGAAAUCCAGUGAAAAACUAUAGUAAGUGGCUUCACCCAUUACAAAACCACACAAAAAUUUAGCCAGAGGCAAUAGGAGAGGAGGCCUCUAUCAAAACCAGCCCCAGACCUAAGACAAAGAAAAAGGUGACCUUCCACUGUGACAAGACACUAGCCAGGGACACCUUACCUGUAAAGCUCUACAUCCAGAGGAAGAAAAGCAGAUAACAGAAGUGGUCAGAUACCCAUAGAGUAGUAAUGGAUACAAUCAAGAGUAGUAAUAACCAUUCCAGUCUCAGUAGCAUUUAGACAAAGACAUCUGAACCCUUUUCCUAGAACUCUUUUUGAGAUACCUUCAGGGACUCAAAAGAUUUAGCCUUUUAAACCUUGAAGAUGCUGGGGAAAGGGUGUAAAUAUGGCAGGUAGCAGUCAAUAUAGAAACCCAAGUUUCCAGAUCCAGCCAGUCCAAGCAGGGCAAAAGCCCCAAUUCAGGAAUUAAAGAUAGAUAGAUGUAAACCAAAGAAGAUACCAAUUAUUAUAAAGAAUUAUAAUAAAUCCAAAGAUACCUAAAAGUCUAACCUAGAAGGAAAGAGUAACUAUAACAACUGCUAGUAAAUACUCACUGGGAAAAAAGUAUUUUCAACAAGGACAUUAAUAUCUAGUAGAAAUGAAAUGAGAAAAUGUACUAAAUGCUCCUGUAGGAAAGAAUUUGAAGGGAAAUAAAUAGCUUAGAACAAAAAGUCAUCAAUUCUUAUCAAGUGAUGAAUUCCUUGCACAUUAGAAUAGACCAAACAGAAAUCAAUGGCUUUGCGAGACUUCACGUAAAAUUAGAAGAAAAGCAAAAGCUUUUUUAAAAUGCCAUAAUAAACAAAUUAACUGGAAAAAAUUCAAAGAAAGAUAAUCACAGAAUUCUCUAGAAACUAUGAUUCAUGUCUUAAUAAAUCAUAAGUGAAUAUCUCCAUGAUAUAAUAGAAGGUGAAGUGAAAGUAGAAAGGAUCCACCAAUCAUCUAUUGAAAAAAAAUAAGAAAAUUUCCAGAAAUAUCAGAGCCAAAAUCCAGAGCUUCCACAACAAAGAAAAAAAUAUUACAAACAUUCAGAAAGAGAGAGGAAUAAAAAAAAUACAGAUUUAAUAACAAGAAAACUGAUCUUGCAAAAGCUAAGUGUGGUCCUAAAGCAGGAAAACGAUCUUUAAAUGGAACAGAUCACUUUUAAACAUUCCUGAUAAAAAGAUUAGUGCUAAAUAGGAACUUUGAAAUACAAACACACCAGUCAAGAGAAAUCUAGAAACAUAAAUACAUUUCAGCAAUUUAAAAGAUCUAAAUGAUCAUGAAGACUAAUAUUCAUUCUAUUAGGAAGAAAAGAAACGUGUUCCUUAAGAAUUUUAACAUCUUCCAAGUUUAUUGAGAUAAUUAUAUAAGAAAAUCAAAGCACCUGGGAGGUAGAUUACUUCUGUUCUGAGGAUUUUAAGAGGGGAAAGCCAAGCGUAUAAAAGAAUAUGUUAGUAUAAAAAGGAGGAAGAAAGGAUUUAAUUGAUUAUUUCUUAUAAUUGGAGUUCAUUAAAAGAAGCAUAUACAAAUACAGAUGAAGGGAUAGAGGAAGAAGAUAUUAGAUGAACCUCAUUCUGUUCUGAACCAGACAAGAGUGAUGGUGAACAUAAGAACAUUAAGCAUUUGAUAUAGAACUACAUAAAAUCUGACAUGAAAUGCUGUGGAGUUUUGGAAGGAGGCGAGUUGGAGGAAAUAUAAUGGGAGUAUAAUUGCAAGCAUAGCGAACUUCCUGUUCUGAGGAGGGGACUAAAAGGGGGGAAAAAAAGAAAAAAUAUAUAGAUAUAUAGAUAUAUGGAUAUAUGUGUAUAUGUAUAUAUAAUAAAAACGAGAUUAAGUGCAGUGAUGCUUGUCAGUUGAGGGAAUAGCUUAAUAAAAUGUGGAAUAGUAAUGUUAUUUUGCCCAAGAACUAGCAAAAAAAAUUAAUUAAAGAAUCCUGGCAAAUAUGAACAAAUGCAGAGUGAAGUGAGUAGAACCAGAACACUUUAUACAUUAACAACAGUAUCAAGAAAAAACAAAUUUGAAAGACUCAAGAACUCUGAUUAAAGUGAUGACCAGCCAUGUCUCCAGAGAACCCAUGAUGAAAUGACAGCAGUACCUCUUACCCUAAAAAAGAAGAAAAUAAAAAAGGAGUCUCUGAAACAUUUUUCAAGUGCAUAUAGAAAUACAAGGAAGCACAGAUAAGUGGAAUAAUAUUGAAAAUAACAGGUUGAAUUUAUUACUUUUUUUCAAAAAAGCAAGCAAUAUGGAACAGAUACAUUUCUACAUAUUCUUUUUGUUUU